AAACUGAAGAGUUUGAUCAUGGCUCAGAUUGAACGCUGGCGGCAGGCUUAACACAUGCAAGUCGAGCGGUAGCAGGAAGUGCUUGCACUUCGCUGACGAGUGGCGGACGGGUGAGUAACGCGUAGGAAUCUACCUGGUAGUGGGGGACAACAGUUGGAAACGACUGCUAAUACCGCAUACGCCCUACGGGGGAAAGCGGGGGAUCUUCGGACCUCGUGCUAUCAGAUGAGCCUGCGUGAGAUUAGCUUGUUGGUGAGGUAAUGGCUCACCAAGGCGACGAUCUCUAGCUGGUCUGAGAGGAUGAUCAGCCACACUGGGACUGAGACACGGCCCAGACUCCUACGGGAGGCAGCAGUGGGGAAUAUUGGACAAUGGGCGCAAGCCUGAUCCAGCCAUGCCGCGUG
rnacentral:rRNA from 1 species